CAGUCACACUUCGGCCUUUCACAACCCCAUAAUCUCCCCAAAAAAAAAAAAUAAAAAAAAAAAAAUAAAAUUGGAGAGACAUUUUUGUAAUCUUUCUUCGAUCUCUCUCUGAUUGAGUUUCAUUGUUCGUCUAUGUGUUGUUCUCUUUAUUAUGGGAAAGUCACUUCCAUCUCCAGCUGCACUCCAAGAAUUGUCCAGGGUUAUCUCCACCAACAGACUUCACCGCCGCCAAGUCCCCAAAUCCCCCCGACCCACCACCUUGUCCUCUGCCCAGCCCCCCGCCGCCGGCCUUAGUGGGUCCCGGCGGCUUGCAUCAAAGGACCAGCAAUUGCCGCAGCUUAGACUUGAAAAUAAGGGGAUGGAGGGGAAGAAAUCGACUUCCAACGACAACUCCACGUCGGCGUCCGAGCAGGGCCGCCGGAUUCCUCUGGCGGAGGCCGUGGCUGAUUGUGUCAAGCGGUGGUUUCAGGACACCCUCAAAGAAGCCAAGGCUGGUGAUACCGCCAUGCAGGUCCUUGUCAGCCAGAUGUAUUAUAGUGGUUAUGGUAUCCCCAGAGACGCCCAAAAGGGAAAGACUUGGAUGAAUAGAGCUUCGAGGGCUCGGUCUUCAGUAUGGAAAGUUAGCGAUAAGCAUCCAGGGUACAAUGCAAGUGACUCGGAUUCUGAGGAUACAAAAGAUGAAGCCAAAUAAGAUGGAAGAAGUCUCUAUUGGUUGAAAGAAAAGAAGAAUCAUGCGUUUUAGAGCGUCUCAACUUCAAUUAGAUGUUAAACACUAGAAUGGUACAAUAAUUUGUUCUAUGCUCUCCCAUUUUGGCUGGCCUCCUUAACAACUUCUCUGCAGAAAGAUGAAUGCUGUUACUGCAAGUCUCCUGGAAAUUAUCUUUACUGCUUCUAUAUAAAUUAUUGGAGGGGCAAUUGCAAUACAAGUACAUUUGCAAUUAAAAUUUAUAGCUGAAAGUUUUGCCAGAUGCGAAUAAUGGGGCUCCACAGCCGUGAGAGUGCGGGACAAGGAGAUUGGAGAUAAGGGGGAAGUGGAAAAUGUUGGCACUUAGGGUCUAUUUGUUUGGACUGAAAAUAUUUUCAGGAAAUUCUGGUGUUUGGCAGCCAAAAAGAUUGGGAAAAUUUUUUCCCGCGGAAAAUCUUUUACGCAAUCACGAGAAAAAUGACUUCCGCAUCUGUUGUACUAAAGUUAUUUUUCAAUAACUCUCAGAGCUCAUCAACCUCACGAUCCCUUUAAUAGGAAAAAAAAUUUGAGAGCUCAUCAUUCUCAUGAUCCUUUACUAAACCGAAAAUUUUCAGAUCAUGACUGAAAAUUAUCUAUCGUGCCUAACCUAGACCUACAGCCACCUCCCCCACCACCACCACAAAGGCGCCUCUCCAUCUUCCUUAUCUUUCUUAGUACUAUUUGUAAGCAUCAGUGAAGUGCUUCAUCUGAUAGAACUCUAUCAAUCAUAAGGAUCUCAUUAUUGAUGCAAUUUCCAUUGACAUAGCGAUUAGGUAAUUAGUAUGAUCUGUAAUGGUAAUGGGUUUGCGAUACUAUGGGUUUCCUGAGUAUGAUCUAAUUUUUUGGAA